UACGUAGGGGGCAAGCGUUGUCCGGAAUCACUGGGCGUAAAGCGCGCGCAGGCGGUCUUUCACGUCCGGGGUGAAAGCCCAGAGCUCAACUCUGGGAUUGCCUUGGAUACGGGGAGACUUGAGGAUCGGAGAGGCAAGGGGAAUUCCACGUGUAGCGGUGAAAUGCGUAGAGAUGUGGAGGAACACCUGUGGCGAAGGCGCCUUGCUGGCCGAUUUCUGACGCUGAGGCGCGAAGGCGUGGGGAGCGAACAGG
rnacentral:rRNA from 1 species